CUCCCUCCUCCUCGUUUCCCGCGCCGCCAGCCACCUCCUAUCUCGCAGCCGCCGCCCCCUCCUCCAAAUCCGUGCCUGGCCACUCCACCUCCGCCACUUGUCGCCACCGCCGCUGCGUCCCGGACCAAUCCGGGCGCGACACGUCGCCUCCUAGCGCCCCGCGGCCAACCCCAGCACGCCGUGCGUCCUCCCCCGCGCCCCACUUCACCGCGGCCCUGCCAGGCCCAUCUGGGCCCCGCCGAAGCCCGCCCGAGCCCGUUCGCUGCUCGAGCGCCCCGCAAGCCCCUGGCUCCCUCCUCCCACUCGAUCCCGAGCUGGAUCGAGACCGCCGCCUCACGCCUCCCGCCGGCGACCCGGCAGCCCCGCCGGAGCCAGCAGCGCCACCAUGGUCUCCAUGGAGCUCGCCGCUGCUGCUAGUCGCCGGCGCCAGAGCCCUCCAACCUCCUCCCGCGGCCGGAUCCGGCACCGCGCCGCCCUGAUCCGCCCGUUCCCGGCCCUUCGGCCUUGCCCCGCUCGCCGGAGCGCUGUCCCGCCUCGCCGGCGCAGCGCCGCCGCCUCCCUUGCGUCGGCCACAACGAGCAGGAGCUCGACGACCGGUGCCCUGUUGACCGCUUCGACCCCCCUGUGGGCCGGCCGCCCCUCCCCUCCGGCCCAGCGCGCCUCCCAGGCCCAAGCUGGCCUCGCUUGGCCUCUCCAUCAGCCUGGGCCUUAGCCCAUGGUUAUGGUAACGUUGCGUUCGUGAAUAUUUGUUCGACUACGUUGGUUCGUCUACUUCAUGG